rnacentral:rRNA from 1 species
AUUAAACGCUGGCGGCAUGCCUUACACAUGCAAGUCGAACGGCAGCACGGGGGCAACCCUGGUGGCGAGUGGCGAACGGGUGAGUAAAGCAUCGGAACGUGCCCUGGAGUGGGGGAUAACGUAGCGAAAGUUACGCUAAUACCGCAUAUUCUGUGAGCAGGAAAGCAGGGGAUCGCAAGACCUUGCGCUCUGGGAGCGGCCGAUGUCGGAUUAGCUAGUUGGUGGGGUAAAGGCCUACCAAGGCGACGAUCCGUAGCGGGUCUGAGAGGAUGAUCCGCCACACUGGGACUGAGACACGGCCCAGACUCCUACGGGAGGCAGCAGUGGGGAAUUUUGGACAAUGGGCGAAAGCCUGAUCCAGCCAUGCCGCGUGAGUGAUGAAGGCCCUAGGGUUGUAAAGCUCUUUCAACGGUGAAGAUAAUGACGGUAACCGUAGAAGAAGCCCCGGCUAACUUCGUGCCAGCAGCCGCGGUAAU